AAUAUUUGACGCCAUUGACUUUUUUAAACAUGUUUGACCGUUCGUCUUAUUGAAAAAAAUUAAGUAAUUAUUAAUUUUUUUCCUCUUGUUUGAUUAAUUGUUAAAUAUAAUUUUAUGUAUGCAUAUAGUUUUAUAUAUUUCACAAAAGUUUUUAAAUAAGAUGAAUGGUCAAACAUGUUUAAAAAAGUCAACGGCGUCAAAUAUU
rnacentral:pre_miRNA from 1 species